UCAUUUAUAUUCACCAAUAUAACAACAAACAUAUUUUAUUGACAACAUUUUAACGUGAUUAAAAUGUCAUCUAGGGACUUUUUAAAUAUGCAAACAAAUGAUUGAAUCGGGCUUUCAGGGUUGGGUUAGACCAGCCCAAGUGAAACUAGCCCUAUUCUUAACUCUUUUAAACAUUCUUCUUUAAUGUUGAGGGUUUAAUUCCAUUGCUUCUCCUCCUUGUGUGUCCCCCCCCACAGGAUCUGCAGAACGCAUCCGUGCUGGUUUUGGCGAAUAAGCAGGACAUGAAGAACAGCAUGUCUGCUGCAGAGAUCUCUCAGAGUCUGACUCUCAGCUCGCUCAAUGCUCGCUCCUGGCACAUCCAGGCCUGCUGCGCACUCACUGGAGAAGGCUUACCAGCCAGUCUAGAUUGGAUGCGCUCCCGUGUUGUGGCGAAUUAGUCCAGCAACGGUGCUUCUUAAACCUCUGGAACUGCUGAAAGAGAGCUCAGGCCUACUUAAGACUUUUCAUCCAGCUCUCAGUGCCUCUGUCUGAGUAAUCCUCAAAUACUGAAUCCUGGAGGAACGCGCUUCACCCACUUACUCUGGAUACCAGAACGAGCCUGGAGACUGUGUGUGUGUGUGUGUGUGUGAGAAUGUGUGUGUGUAUAUAAACGUUUGUGUUUGUACAUUUAUGUGACUCCGUUCUAGAGGUCCACGUGUUUACAUUACUGACUUUUGCAAUGAUCUGACCUGAUCAUGAUGUGUUGUCGCCACUGUAUUCACCUCCGGCUGUGCUGACGGCUCCGCUUCUCACGUGGAGUUAUUGUCUACAGGCAUCCAUCUCAAAGGGGUGGGGGGGGGUGAUGGUUCACAUGCCUGUACUGACUCAUGAUGAGCCACUAAGCUAUUGAACAAGCAUUACUUGAAGUAUUUAAAGGGAAUUUAUUUUUGUAUGUUCUAUAGAUGUGAGCAUGCAGAAUGGAACAAGUGUUCAAGUAUUUUAUUUUUGAAAGUAUAUUGGAUAUUCAUAGUAUGUUUCUUAUAUGAUUUUGUACAAAAAAAUUUGUGCAAAUAAAAAUCUACUAAAAACA